rnacentral:lncRNA from 1 species
AAGGAGUCCAAGUUUAAAGAAACAGGUAUUUAUAUGUGAGUGGAGCUAGAGAAGCAGGAAAGGGUGAGCUCUGGCCAGAUUUCCUGUACAUUGCUGAACAGUAGCAGUGAAAAUCGGCAUUCUGGUCUUUUCCUGAUGUUAUAGGGAGCUCUUGGCCUGACUCAUCGGGACUUUGGAUAUCAGACUCUUUUCUUCAUUCUACAGCUUUGAAUUUGGGAUUAGAUGUGUAUCGAUGUUAGCUGCUUAAAGAUGGAGGAUGAUACAUGAAGGAAUGGUUGGUUUAAGAAUGAUCAUGUGACUCAAAACUAUGAAGGAAAUUUCUUGGAGGAGGCUGUUGGUGAAUGUUGUACUUCUUAGUUGCCUUGUUCCUGCAUUGUCAGUAGAUUUGAUGCUUGGAACUGCAACAGUCUUCUUGCUGUGACACUUAGGAUGAAGCCAACAUGUGAAGGAGGACAGAACCAAAAAAUGCAGAGACAUGAAUCUCAACCUGUGCCAUGCCAUUAUUGGAGCAGUUCUGUUUCCAGGCUUCUUGUUUGGGA